rnacentral:rRNA from 1 species
UACGUAGGGUGCAAGCGUUAAUCGGAAUUACUGGGCGUAAAGCGUGCGCAGGCGGCUAUGCAAGACAGAUGUGAAAUCCCCGGGCUCAACCUGGGAACUGCAUUUGUGACUGCAUGGCUAGAGUACGGUAGAGGGGGAUGGAAUUCCGCGUGUAGCAGUGAAAUGCGUAGAUAUCGAGAGGAACACCUGCGGCGAAGGCGGGUUGCUGGGCUGACACUGACGCUGAGGCGCGAAAGCUAGGGGAGCAAACAGG